rnacentral:lncRNA from 1 species
CGAAGAGUUUUGAGUUUCAGGUUGCAACAAUGUAGUAGUAGUGGUGGUGGGUAGAACAAUGCAGUGUAGAAUGCUGCUGCAUGGCUUAGGUUAUUUGGUUUUGAAAUUUUUGAUGGGUAAGGGAAUGAAAAGUGAUUAACGGCUACUGAAAACAGGGUGAUUUGGGGAAAAGGCUAUGAGAGGAGAUUUGGGAUGUGGAGAGAAAAAGUGGAAC